UUUUUUCUUACUUUUGCAUCAAGUGCUUGCACCAUUCUCCUCUUCUUCUUGCUACCAUUUUUCAAUAUUCUUUUUCAGCCUUAAACCUGAAAUAUUUAACCCCCAAGAACGAUCUCCAUUGUUGCCCAUGAAGCUCCAUUGUCGCCCAUUCCUUCUAGCUAGUGUAAGUAACACUUUUCUUUCGUUUUCUUGGUGAAUCUACU
rnacentral:lncRNA from 1 species